rnacentral:misc_RNA from 1 species
UUUAACAAUCCAAUCACCACUUUUCAAUUCAAUAGGGAUUCUAGAAAGUUUUGCACCCUUUGGUCCUGAAACCUCUUCAAAAUCUGGGAUAUGCUUUGAACUUUCUGCAUUGAAAAAUGAGAAAACAACAUGACAGUACCUAAAAGGCAAAAUUUAAUAUAUAGAAAUAUUUUGAAGUUCAGAAUGCAUCAGUAAAUUUAUGUAUGAAAAAAAUAGAUUUAUUAAAUACCCUAUAAAAAGAGAAGCAAGAAAAACAAAAUUUAUCUUUACAGUUCCCACUUCCUACUUUAAUAAGAGAAACAAGUACAAUAUAAACAAAAGAGAACUCCUAACACCCCAUUUGGAUUGAUUGCAAUGUGGUUUAUUAAUGUAUAGUAUCGUAUCGUAUUGUAUGGUAUGAUUUUUAUUAUUAACAUGUUUGGAAAGAUGGUAUGGCAAAAGAUGAUUUAAUAACCUUCUUUUGUUUGGUUAGAUAGUAUGGUAUGAUAAAAUAAAUAUAAAAAUUACUAA